rnacentral:tRNA from 5 species
GGCGCGUUGGCGAAGUGGAAACGCGGGAGUCUGCAAAACUUCUAUUGCGCCAGUCCGAUUCUGGCACGCGCCUCAA